CUUCCUUCCCGACAAACACAAAAGAAGCUCUCCCAAAUUGUUUGGUACGCAAGUUGCUUGUCGCUGGUCGGUACAAACCGCGCACUUCAUGCUGGGUUUUGGUUGCGAACAACUCCCUCGCUGUGGUCUGGACUGUCAUCUCCUCCCUACUCCUGUUUCCCUGUGACUAUCAAUGCGAAUGCUGGACGUGGAGCUGACACACUUCCCUCCUCUGCUCCUGUUCCCCUGGGCUAGCUCGCAUUGUGGAAAAGGCCGAGAUCACAGCUGGCUGUCUAUUACAGUUUGACCACUGUUUUCCCCCAUUAGAGUUUCUUUUGGUAUUAGUCAGUGUUAAACUAACAGCACGUCAAAGUUGGUUGUACGGUAUGCUUGUAUGUGUUGGUUUAUUUUCUUUGUGUUGUAUGCUUGUCUGAGUGUGAUACACUGGUGCAUUUACACUGUUUGCCAGGGUCUGUUACACGACCAGGUGUAGUGCUGUUGCCAUCCCUGAGCUCAUAUUAGCAGCCAGUUAGCGAUUUCAGACUGUUACUCCGAGGCUAUUGAGACUUAUCCUUCCCCCCGGCAGUAUUAGUUUUUAAUGGGUUCUUGUAACCCCUGACUUAGCUUAUCCACACGGGAGACUGUUACUCCUGGUGGUAUUAGUUCAUAUUGAGUUCUUUGUGACUCCCAACCUAGUUUCUCCACACAGUAGACUGUUACUCUUGGGCCAUAGGGGUCUAUGUCCCAGGUAGUAUUAGUUCAUUAUAGCUUCUGCUAUUCAUUGUAGCUGUAUCGGUAGCACUCCACUGGCGCUGAAUAGCGUGUUUGUCUUGUUUUUGUUUUGUCUUGUAUUGUUUCCUUUAUUGAAUGCCCCUCCUUCCCCCUGUUUGCUAGUAUGGCCUGCUAGGUCUAUUAGGUAACACAGUUAAGGUACUCUAGGACUGCCGCCUUCCCCUAGUUUGCGGUGAGGGCACAUUCUAGUGGUUGAGCGUGUACUGAACACCUAUUUAUACUCGUGUGGGUUGUAUUUAGAAAGCUUGAGUGUUACACUUGUGUUUGUGUGUGUGUAUGGCCAUAGAUCACUUUUGGGACUGGGCAGCCAUCCGAGGGUUACUGUACCUGUGUUAAUUCAGGCCGUGUAGCAGCCACCAAUCCACUGGGCAUUUAAUUUCUGAUUAUGUGUAUUACAUUUUGUUUUCUUUGAUUAUUUUGUGUUGUGUAUUGUGAUUUUUGUUUUUAUCGGAUUUACCUACUGUACACCCAUG